rnacentral:rRNA from 1 species
CGCAAUGGGCGCAAGCCUGACGGAGCAACGCCGCGUGCAGGAGGAAGGCCUUCGGGUUGUAAACUGCUUUUAUUGGUGACGAUUUUGACGGUAGCCAAUGGAUAAGGGUCUGCUAACUACGUGCCAGCAGCCGCGGUCAUACGUAGGACCCAAGCGUUAUCCGGAAUUACUGGGCGUAAAGAGUUGCGUAGGUGGCAUAGCAAGCGAAUAGUGAAAGCGUACGGCUCAACCGUAUAUCCAUUAUUCGAACUGCUAAGCUAGAGCAUGAGAGAGGUAGAUGGAAUUUCUAGUGUAGGAGUGAAAUCCGUAGAUAUUAGAAGGAACACCGAUGGCGUAGGCAGUCUUCUGGCUUAUUGCUGCCCUUUACCACGAAAGCGU